rnacentral:rRNA from 1 species
UACGUAGGGGGCAAGCGUUGUCCGGAUUUAUUGGGAGUAAAGAGCGUGUAGGCGGCCAGACAGGUCCGUUGUGAAAACUCGAGGCUCAACCUCGAGACGCCGAUGGAAACCGUCUGGCUAGAGUCCGGAAGAGGAGAGUGGAAUUCCUGGUGUAGCGGUGAAAUGCGCAGAUAUCAGGAAGAACACCCGUGGCUAAGGCGGCUCUCUAGUACGGUACUGACGCUGAGACGCGAAAGCGUGGGGAGCGAACAGG